CUAAGCUUUCAUUUCCUCAACUGCAAGAUGAAGAUAAUACAACUGAAUUCCUAGAUUUGCCUUGAGGAUGAAAUGAAAUGGGAAAUAUAAAGUACCUAGUACAGGACCUGGAGUGUAGGAGGCACUAAGUCAUUGAUAACUAUUUUAAUCUCUGUUAUUUGCCAUCUUAUCCAUGGGCUUCACUUUGAUGAGCGCAGUAUCUUCUGCUGAAUGACUCUACUUUUUUGCUAUGAUGCGCCUACUCUUCUACUGUUUCUUUAACUGAUAUUCCUUUCUUCCAAAUUAUUCCAUGUAAAAGGUACUCUUCCAGAGCCUACAUUAAAUUGUUUGAUGGUCUAUAAUGAAGAAUUGACUUUUCUUUGUUCUCAAGCAAAGGACCUUUGGCCACCAAAGACACAUGUCCCUGAAUAGUCAAAGAAAGACUACUCUUGGGUAGACAGGUCGGUGUGGAUCCUUGCUCAGUCCAAUCAGUUGUGGUCAGGGAUUGGAAUCAUGUAAUCCAGAGGCAGCUCAGCAGGGAAUGUAGAUAAGGUCAAUCCACUCCUGGAAAUUACCUUCAGCUCUCUUUGAAAAUGGCUUCACUGUCUUCAUUUAUAACCCCGUGUAUUUUGGACUACCCUCCCAUCUUAUGAUGAUACUACCUGGAACACACAGCCUCCAAGGACACAUUGGCAGAGGAAGAGGAAGAUGGCAGAGACACAAACAGAGAUUAUCAUGGAGUUAUUAUGAUUUCCAUCUAAUACUUCCUCAUCUUACUGGAUUAUUGAACAAUCAAUACUGUUUGUCUACAGAGCAGAAGCCAUCUUUAUUUCUCUUACCUCUUUUUGGUAAAAACGAAGGAGGGAUCACUCUUGCACUGGAAAACCAACAAAUCACUGUGGAAACACAAGUAAUAACAUCGUGUUCUGUGAU
rnacentral:lncRNA from 1 species